UAUUGAAACUGUAGCGACUGUCUUGAAAGUCAAGCGAUCGUUAACAAAAACCGGGACUCUGAACAUUGACGCAACUGGGGAACGCUGCGCUAGAUUCUGCGGUGGCUGGUACGGGCA
rnacentral:rRNA from 2 species